GUGGGGAAUCUUGCGCAAUGGGCGAAAGCCUGACGCAGCCAUGCCGCGUGGAUGAUGAAGGUCUUAGGAUUGUAAAAUCCUUUCACCGGUGAAGAUAAUGACUGUAGCCGGAGAAGAAGCCCCGGCUAACUUCGUGCCAGCAGCCGCGGUAAUACGAAGGGGGCUAGCGUUGCUCGGAUUUACUGGGCGUAAAGGGCGCGUAGGCGGACAGUUUAGUCAGAGGUGAAAGCCCAGGGCUCAACCUUGGAAUUGCCUUUGAUACUGGCUGUCUUGAGUACGGGAGAGGUGAGUGGAACUCCGAGUGUAGAGGUGAAAUUCGUAGAUAUUCGGAAGAACACCAGUGGCGAAGGCGACUCACUGGCCCGUUACUGACGCUGAGGCGCGAAAGCGUGGGGAGCAAACAGGAUUAGAAACCCCAGUAGUCC
rnacentral:rRNA from 1 species